rnacentral:lncRNA from 1 species
CUACAAAAUAAUAAUCAAAAACAAAAAAAGUAAGCAUAACCCGUAGUUUCUUUCCAAAUGCCUUUAAAGUUUCAAAGCAGUAAUUACACCUUGCGGCACUACCCGGUUCGGCCGGUGCCUGGCUGGAGGGCGCCGGAGAGCCUGGAGCAGGGCGCCAGGAGGCCGGAGCAGGAGGAGAAGGAGUAGGAGGAAGUGGUCACUAGCGCGGCGGCCGCCGGCCCGCAAUGGUGCUACCCUGGUUGCUGCUCGAGACUGCGCGCAGGGCGGUCCUCGGGUCCGCGGAGGCUGCGCUCUGCGCCAUGAAAAUGACAGAUGAAAAUAGAAAAGUGUGGCUGGUCUGAAGUGGAUGAAGUAGGUGAAGCUCUACAGAUGAAUCCAAGAGACUUCAAAGAGAAGUACAAUGAAGUAAAACCAUCCAAAUCUGACAGCUAGUGUUUUCUUAUUUAGCCGGAGUGAGAAGCAAGAAGGCCCUGGACACAGCAAUAUCUCUGGGCUUUCACAGUUACUAUGAGAGGUGUGUUAAAAUCUCUCUCUGAAAGAAAGAAAGAAAGAAGAAAAGAAAGAAAGAAAGGAAAGAAAGAGAGAAAGAAAGAGACAACCGUGAAGCUUGCUGCAUCAGUGGACUCUUCCUUUCACAAAACAUUUUUCUGUAGUAUGCUAUGCUGUUUGACAGCAUUUUACUCACAGUAGAACUGCUUUCAAAAUUGGAGUCAGUCCUCUCAGGCCUUGCCAAUACUUUCUCAACUAAGUUUAUGUAGUAUUGUAAUUCCUUUGUUGUCAUUUAAACAAUGUUCAUAGCAUCUUCACCAGGAAUAGAUUCCAUCUCAAGAAACCACUUUCUUUGAGCAUUUAUAAGAGGUACCUCCUUAUCUGUUCAAGUCUGAUCAUGAGUUGCAGCAAUUCAGUCACAUUUUUAAGCUGCACUUCUAGUUCUCUUGCUAGUUCCACCACACCUGCACUUGCUUCCUCUACUGAAGUCUUGCACCCCUCAAAGUGAUAUAUGAUGGUUGGAAUCAACUUUUUCCAAACUCCUGUGAAUAACAUGUUGCUAUUUUAGCCUCUUCCCAUGAGUUACAAAUUUUUUUUAACACUUUAACUUUUUUUUUUUUUUGAGACAGAGUCUUGCUCUAUUGCUCAGGCUAGAGUGCAGUGGCACAAUCCCAGCUCACUGCAACCUCCACCUCCUGGGCUCAAAUGAUCCUACCACCUCAGCCUCUGAGUAGCUGGGACUACAGGUGCAUGCCACCAUGACCAGCAAAUGUUUGUAUUUUUUGUAGAGAUGGGGUUUCACCAUUUUGCCCAGGCUGGUCUCGAACUUCUGUGCUCAAGCAAUCCAUCCACCUUGGCCUCCCAAAGUGCUGGGAUUACAGGUGUGAGCUACCAUACCCAGCCCACAAAUGUUCUUAAUAGUUAUGACAAAUGAUGAAUCCUUUCCAGAAGAUUUUCCUUUAAAGUUUGAAGCCAGGCAUUGAUUUCUCUCUAGCUAUGAACGUCCUAGAUGGCAUCUUUUUCCAAUAGAAGGCUGUUUCACCUACAUAGAAAAUCCAUUGUUAAGUAUAGCUACCUUCAUCAGCAAUCUUAGCUAGAUCUUCUGGUUAGCUUGCUGCAGCUUCUGCAUCAGCACUUGCUGCUUCACCUCACACUUUUAUGUUUUGGAGACCACAUCUUUCCUUAAAUCUCAUGAGCCAACCUCUGCUAGCUUCAAACUUUUCUUCUGCAGCUUUCUCACCUCUCUCACCCUUCACAGAAUUAAAGAGAGUUAGCGCUUUGCUCUGGAAUAAGCUUUGGUUUAAGGGAAUAUUGUGGCUAGUAUGAUUUUCUAUUCAGACCACUCAAACUUUCUCUGCAUCAGUAAUAAAGCUGUUCUGCUUUCCUAUCACUUGUAUGGUCACAGGAACAACACUUUUAGUUUUCCUCAAGAACUUUUCCUUUGCAUUCACAACUUGGCUAAUGGUUUGGUGUAGGAGGCCAAGCUUUGUGCCUGUCUUGUCUUUCCACAUGCCUUCCUCACUAAGCUUACCAUUUCUAGCUUUUCAUAUAAAGUGAGAGACUUGCAACUUUUCUUUUCACUUGAACACUUUUACUUUUCACCCUACACUUAGAGGCCAUUGUAGGGUGUAGCUGACCUAAUUUCAACACUGCUGUGUCUCAGGGAAUAGGGAGGCCUGAAGAGAGGGGAAGUGAUGGGGACUGCCAGUCGGUAGAGCAGUCAGAACACACACAUUUAUCAAUUAUGUUUGCUGACUUAUAUAAAUAUAGUUCAUGGAACCCCAAAAGAAUUACAACAAUAACACCACAGAUUACUGAUCGCAGAUCACCAUAACAGAUAAAUGGCACCAAUAGAUGUACUCAAUGCAGAGUCACCACACACUUUCCAUUGUAAACAGCACAAUAUCUGUGAAACACAAUAAAAUGAAGUGUGGCUGUAGAAUGCUGCAGCCAGGAAGUAAUUCCAGACUGUGUGCCUAGAGUGUGUAUGACUUCUAUAUUAUACUGAUAGUGCCAAGAAGGAACAAAGCAGGUAUGUGUCAACAUUGAACAUAUUAAGGACCAGCAAAUAGCACACUUCCACAGGCCUUCCUACUGUGCUGAGCUGCUAAUAGGUUGUCAAUAGAUAUUUAUUGGUUAAGUUUUAAAAUUUUUUUUCCUGUUGCGGAAUGGUGGGCAGGACGCUGAGCUAAGUAUCAGACCCAGAUGCUAACAAGGGCUCCU